rnacentral:pre_miRNA from 1 species
GGGAGGAGGCUGGAUCCUGGGCUGUGUCCCUGGAGCCCUGUGUUCCCAGGCCUGCGCUGUUGGAUUUGCGCUCCCGGCCGGGCAGCCCCCU